GAUGAACGCUGGCGGCGUGCCUAAUACAUGCAAGUCGAGCGAACAGAUGAGGAGCUUGCUCCUCUGACGUUAGCGGCGGACGGGUGAGUAACACGUGGAUAACCUACCUAUAAGACUGGGAUAACUUCGGGAAACCGGAGCUAAUACCGGAUAAUAUAUUGAACCGCAUGGUUCAAUAGUGAAAGACGGUUUUGCUGUCACUUAUAGAUGGAUCCGCGCCGCAUUAGCUAGUUGGUAAGGUAACGGCUUACCAAGGCAACGAUGCGUAGCCGACCUGAGAGAGUGAUCGGCCACACUGGAGCUGGGACACGGUCAAGACGCCUAAGGGAGGCAGCAGUAGGGAAUCUUACGCAAUGGGCGAAAGCCUGACGGAGCAACGCCGCGUGAGUGAUGAAGGUCUUCGGAUCGUAAAACUCUGUUAUUAGGGAAGAACAAAUGUGUAAGUAACUAUGCACGUCUUGACGGUACCUAAUCAGAAGGCCACGGCUAACUACGUG
rnacentral:rRNA from 1 species